GAGUAUCCUGAAGGAACGUUGAAGACGACGACGUUGAUAGGCCGGGUGUGUAAGCGCAGCGAUGCGUUGAGCUAACCGGUACUAAUGAACCGUGAGGCUUAACCUUACAACGCCGAAG
rnacentral:rRNA from 1 species